rnacentral:rRNA from 1 species
AAUAUUGGACAAUGGGGGCAACCCUGAUCCAGCCAUGCCGCGUGUGUGAAGAAGGUCUUCGGAUUGUAAAGCACUUUAAGUUGGGAGGAAGGGUUGUAGAUUAAUACUCUGCAAUUUUGACGUUACCAACAGAAUAAGCACCGGCUAACUUCGUGCCAGCAGCCGCGGUAAUACGAAGGGUGCAAGCGUUAAUCGGAAUUACUGGGCGUAAAGCGCGCGUAGGUGGUUCAGUACCUGGGAACUGCUUUCAUAACUGCUGAGCUAGAGUACGGUAGAGGGUAGUGGAAUUUCCUGUGUAGCGGUGAAAUGCGUAGAUAUAGGAAGGAACACCAGUGGCGAAGGCGACUACCUGGACUGAUACUGACACUGAGGUGCGAAAGCGUGGGGAGCAAAC